UGCCGGAUGGUGUAAUUGGCAACACACUGGUUUCUGGUACCAGCAUUCAAGGUUCGAGUCCUUGUCCGGCAG
rnacentral:tRNA from 3 species